rnacentral:rRNA from 1 species
UACGUAGGGGGGCAAGCGUUGUCCGGAUUCAUUGGGCGUAAAGAGCGUGUAGGCGGCCAGGUAGGUCGGUUGUGAAAACUGGAGGCUCAACCUUCAGAGGUCGACCGAAACCAUCUGGCUAGAGUCCGGGAGAGGAGAGUGGAAUUCCUGGUGUAGCGGUGAAAUGCGCAGAGUAUCAGGAGGAACACCGGUGGCGAAGGCGGGACUCUGGGACGGUACUGACGCUGAGACGCGGAAAGCGUGGGGAGCGAACAGG